GGGAAGACAAAAAAUUCUUCAAUUUCGACGUCGGUAUUUGAGGGGAAGCGACGUCUAUAUGUCUGUAAUUAAUUAUGUUCACCAAACUCGAGGGCCUUAGACAUCGGCUAGAUAAGCACCGACGUCUACGUUAUUAUAGACGUAGGUGCCCCAUCACAACUAUCGUGAACAUCCCUGACAGGAAAUCAAAUGUCAAUUGGUUCAGCUUCCUAGACGUCGGCUCCCCACGAAACCGACGUCUAAUUGGUAUUCAAAAAGUCAGUUUAAAAGUUGACUUGGACGUCACAUUAGUGAGAUAACCGACGUCUAUAUGACUAUAGACGUCGGUUUCUGGAGCAACCGACGCCCAAUUUCAUUUUAAAUAAACUGCAAACUCUUCGCGGCAUUCAGUUUCUGAUAUCGUCUUCCUCUUCUCCUUUUUCUCUUGCGGCACCUCUUCUUUUUCUCGCUUGCGGCACCUCUUCUUUUUCUCUCUUGCGGCAUUCUAUUGUUGUUUUUGAUAUCUUUAUCGUCUUCCUCCUCUCCUUUUUCUCUCUUGUGGCAUCCCAGGUGCGUGGUUUUUUUUUAUGCUUACCGUUUAAACUUUGUUUAGUCUUUCAUCGAUUAUAUUCUGGUUCAACUGAUUAAAAUUUGCUUUCUUUGUGUUGUGUUUUAGUGCAGUUUUGUUCCUUUCUUGGGUAACGUAGUAACACAUUCUCCAUUUGCUAGCUGCCUCCCA
rnacentral:lncRNA from 1 species